GGGGUUCGAUUCCGGAGAGGGUGCUUGAGAAAUGGCAACCAUGACUACGGUCAGCAGCAGGCGCGCAAAUUGCCCAAUGCCAAUACUGGCGAGGCAGCGACGAAAAAUAAUAACUUUGAUGCAUUAUGUGUAUCAAAGAUUGCAAUGGACUGUAUUUAGAAACACUGAUGAGUAUCUAUUGGAGGGCAAGUCUGGUGCCAGCAGCCGCGGUAAUUCCAGCUCCAAGAGCGUAUAUAAAUGUUGUUGCGGUUAAAAAGCCCGUAGUUGGAUUUGAGAUUAUCGCCUUUGAAUUCUGCUCGGGGUUCACACCCAGAUGUCAGAACUCAAAAAACGGUGAUGAUCUGUUUGAUGCGGGAACGGACAUCUGCUGAAUACCUCUUCGGGGGUGUGUAGGCAAUUUCGGAGUCUCGACGCUCCAAAGAUGCGCCCGCAGUCGUCACUGUGAGUAAAUCAGAGUGUUCAAGGCAACUCCUUGUUGAGUUGAAUGUUAAAGCAUGGAAUGACAAGGGAUCGACCACUGAAUGGCCUCUUUUUGUUGGUUUUUAACCUUCAGUGAGGCAAAUCUGUGGAAGGGCUUUCCGCUGCAAAGACUUCGGUCUUUUGUAUGAACCCUUCUGCGCACGGGAUCAAUAGGAGCACAGGGGGCCGUGAGUACUGGAGGGUGAGUGGUGAAAUACAGAGACCCCUCCAAGACUGACAUCAGCGAAAGCACUCGGCUAUUGUGCUUUCAUUAAUCAAGGACGAGAGAUAGGGGAUCGAAGAGGAUUAGACACCCUCGUAGUCCUUUCCUUAAAUUCUGCAGACUUGGGAUCGGUCAGUGUUCAUCCUUUUGGCCUGAUCGGCACCUUCCUUCCCUACCGAGAAAUCAAAGUCUUUGUGUUCCGGGGGGAGUACAUUCGCAAGGCUGAAACUUAAAGGAAUUGACGGAGAACCACCACCAGUCGUGGAUUGUGUGGCUUAAUUCGACCCAACACGGGAAAUUUUACCAGCGCAUGACAGGGUCAGGAUUGCCAAGCUAAAGCCUUUGCUUGAUUCCCUGAAGGGUGGUGCAUGGCCGCUUCUGGUUGGUGAAUGUGAUUUGUCUGCUUAAUUGCGAUAACGAACGAGAUCUCUGCCAAUUACUAGAGACCGCUUUCGCUUUAAGUUAGUGUGUGAUCAAGGGCGUCAGCCUUUGGUCACAUACUGCUGAGAAGGCGGACAUUUACUUAUUGGGAUUAUGCGGUCUACAAACGCAUUGAAACGAGAGCCCAAAGCAGGUCUGUGAUGCUCCUAAAUGUGCUGGGCUGCACGCGCAAUACAUUGACUUCGACAACGAGCUUUUGCAACCUGGCCCGAAGGGGUUGGGGAAACUCUGAGCCGAAGUCGUGGUGGGGAUUGAUGCUUGAAAUUAUUCUCCAUGUAACGAGGAAUGACUUGUAGGCGCGUUUCAUCAGAACGCACCGAAUACGUCCCUGGUUCUUGUACACACCGCCCGUCGUUGCCUGUAAUGGGUUGUGAGUAGAGUGCUUUGGAGGCACAAAUGUCUUGCGGCGUUUGUUGUCAAAAUUGUACAAUACUUGCAACUUAGAAGAGGCAAAAGUCGUAACAAGGUU
rnacentral:rRNA from 1 species